CCUAAACCAAUCUUAAACAAACCCUAACCCUACCCCUAACCCAACCCUAACCCUACACUUACCCGAAGUCCUGAAGUGUUGAAGUGCCAAAGUUCCGAAUUUCAGAAUGCCGAAAUGAAUAUUUUCCCCAUGCACAUCCCUAAUCGAUUCCUUCUGACAUGUUCUGGGACUGCUCGGGCCUGACUUAGUUCUGGCAAGUCAGACAUAGUAGACAUGGCAGUAGGAAUAUCCAUUCCACGUCUUCCGGAAUACAUUUUACUGCAU